rnacentral:snoRNA from 1 species
UACGUACAUGAUGACAACUGGCUCCCUCUACCAGACUAUCAUGAGGAAAAUUCCAUGAGAAAAAGAA